CGGGGCGUGGCGCAGCCUGGUUUAGCGCGUUUGACUGGGGGUCAAAAGGUCGCAGGUUCGAAUCCUGUCGCCCCGA
rnacentral:tRNA from 1 species